rnacentral:lncRNA from 1 species
CAGGGGUAAAAUGAUAAAUUUAAAACUUUUUCAAAAUCACUAUUUUACAGUAAAAAUUAUUAAUUAAUCUAAUUAAUUAAUAAGAAUUUAUCCUACACUAGGAUCUAAAUAUGAUAUAUAGCAUGCAUGCAUUUAAAUUUGAAAUUCAAAUUUGAACAGUAAACACUUUACUGUAAUGUGUUCAGAACACAAUACCUUUGUGCGGGUAGUACAUCGCCGCAAUCUGAUCACC